ACUAGUGGCGCGCGGUCUGCGGGGGCUUCCGGCUGCCUCAGCGGGGACCUGAGCGAAGGAGGCUCGGGGCCGGGGUGCGGGGGCGUCCGGGGGCGAGCGGAGUGAGUGCAGACCCCUCCUCAUCGCACCCUGUCUCGUCGUACCCUCUCCCCGCGGCCCACCUGGGGCCAGGGUUCCAGAUUCUCGGGCCCCGGCUCCGGCUCAGACCGAAGGGCCCCGCGGGGCCUCCCCGAUUCUCUCCCCCGCCCAGGGACAUCAGGAGGCAGCCGAGGCCGAGAUGCCUGGACAGAGACCCAGGAAGGGCCCCCAGGCCCGAGGCCAGGGGGUGGCAACGGCCAAGCAGUUGGGGCUCUUUGUGGAGUUCAGUCCAGAAGACAUGUUGCUGGAGGACCAGGAUGGCGAGGAGGAUGACGGAGACUUAGAGGCAGAGCUGCUAGCCCUCACUGGCGACACCAGAGCCCCAGAGAGCAAGGCCAGGCCCAAAGGGAAAGUUCCCCUGCCCAUGGCCCACAUCGACAAGCUCGCUGCUGAGUGCAUGCAGGAUGUGGGGGACGAGGCCUCGGAUGAGGAAGACGAAGAGCUGGAGGCGGAUACAGACCUGCUGGCGGAGCUGCAGGAGGUCCUGGGAGAGGAGGAUGCCGGACAAGGCAGCCCUGAAGAGGUGGCGGCCCCCAUGCAGCCUUCUGCCCCGGUAGCCCUUGAGGUGCCCGAGCUGGGGGCCGGGGGCUCCCCUUCCCAGGGGGUGCCCACGGCAGGAGGCCUGCAGGGGCUGCUGGAGGAGCGAAUUGCCAAUUACCAGGCUGCAGCUGCUGGCGCCAAGGAGGCGGGGGACGGGGCCAAAGCCCGGCGGUGUGAGCGAGGCCUGAAGACCCUGCAGACCCAGCUGACGGCUGUGAAAAAGGGCAAAACAAUCACUGAGGAAGAGAUCCCACCCCCUGUGGCCUGUGGGAAGAGGCCAGAGCUGCCCCCAAUUGCAGAAAGUGAAGGCUGUGGGGAACUCCCAGCUUCUCCAGGCCCUCCAGCUACCUCGGACUCCUCAACUGCACUGGGACCUUCAGCUACCCCGGGCCCCCCAACUGUCCCAGCACCCCUGGAAGCAGCUGCUCCUGAGCCAGGCUGUCGGCUGCUGUUGCUAACCCGGCAGAAAGAAUACAAAGAGGCCGCCUUGAAAGCCAAGCAGGAGGGAGACCUGGAGCGGGCCCGAGAGUGCAUGAGGAUUGGCAAGAGGUUUGGUGCUGUGCUGGAGGCAUUGGACAGUGGGCAGCCUGUGGACCUGAGUGGCAUGCCUCCUCCCCCUUCAGAGCUCAAGGCUCCCCAGAAGGCCCUGCCGGCCCCGAGCCCUGGCCCCCUGGAGCAUUCGAAGCCUGUGAUGUCAGCCCCUUCCCGGGCUCCAGUGGCCCCUCCCCAGCCCCAGACGGUACUAGAGGCCUUGGGCCAGAGGCUAAGCAAGUACCAAGAAGCUGCAGCCCAGGCCAGAAGCAGCGGAGACGAGCGGAAGGCCCGCAUGCACGAGCGCAUUGCCAAGCAAUACCAGGAGGCCAUCCGAGCUCACAAAGCCGGGCGGAAAGUGAACUUGGCUGAACUUCCUGUCCCCCCAGGCUUCCCUCCUAUCCCUGGCUUGGAGCCCCCCUUGGGCCCUGAGGACAACCCAUUAGCUGCAGCCUUGAAGGCGGCUCAGCUUCUGGGUGGCCAUGAGGAGAAUGAGGACGAGGAUGAGGAAGAGUCCCUGCCCCAGGCUCCAGUGGCCAAGAAGCCGGCUCAGCGGCCUAGCCAAGCUCCCCAGGUAGCCAGGCCCUCGGUUGUGCCAUCCCCUGAGCCCAAGGGCUCUACCUCCCAGGAGGCCUUGUCCCCAGCAGCCCGGGAACAGCUGGCCUUGCUGGAGAGCCGCAGACUCCAGUGCCAGCGAGCUGCCCUGCAGGCGAAACGGGCCAAGGACCUGGAGCAGGCCAAGGUCCACCUCCGGGCAGCAAAGGCACUGGAUGCGCAGAUAGCCCUGGUGCGUGGCAGCGGCCGUGUGGGCAGCAGCGGGACCAAGGUGUCUUCACCUCUGACUGACGAGGAUGGUGGCUUUGUUCUCAUUCGUCGCGAGGAGGUGGGGCUCUCCCAGAAGGCUGAGGAGGUGUAUGCUCAACUGCACAAGAUGCUUCAGGAGCAGCAGGAGAAGUGCCUGCUGUACUCCAAGCAAUUCAUGCACCAGGGCAACGUGGCAGAAACCACGCGGUUUGAGAAACUGGCCGAGGACCGUAAGAAACAGCUGGAGAUGCUGCAGCUGGCGCAGGCACAAGGCCUGGACCCUCCCAGCCACCGCUUCGAGGAGAAGACCUUCCAGACCGUGAGGAUCUUCUCAGAGCUCAGCAGCACCGAGAUGCACCUUGUCGUCGUGAGGGGCAUGAACCUCCCUGCCCCACCAGGCGUCACUCCUGAUGACCUGGAUGCGUUUGUUCGAUUUGAGUUCCACUAUCCCAGCUCGGACCAGGCCCAGAAAAGCAAGACGUCUGUGGUGAAGAACACCAACUCUCCAGCAGAGUUUGACCAGCUCUUCAAACUGAACAUCAAUCGGAACCACCGGGGCUUCCGCAGGCUGGUCCAGAGCAAGGGAAUCAAGUUUGAGAUUUUUCACAAGGGAUCCUUCUUCAGAAGUGAUAAGCAGGUUGGGACGGCCCAUCUGAAGCUUGAGCGGCUGGAGAGAGAGUGUGAAAUCAGGGAGAUCCUGGAGGUCUUAGAUGGCAGGAAGCCAACCGGGGGCAAACUGGAGGUGAAGGUAAGACUCCGGGAGCCUCUGAGUGGACAGGACGUACAGAUGGUCACAGAGAACUGGCUGGUGCUGGAGCCCAGGGGCAUCUGAGCUCUGGUCUCUGACAGCCAUGAUGUGAUGUGUCUCUAGCACUUACCCUCCAUUCUCCCUUGGCCCUUGUGAUGCUUCUGGGAGCUCUGCCCUGGACCAGAAGCUUUGGACAUAAAGAAGACGCUGCUACCCCGAGCACCAAAGACUUGUUAAGCAAAUGCACUACUGACCAUGCUACACGCCCCCAUGUGCUGGAGAGCUGCCACGGUGCUGUGGGGCAUCGGCCAUGUGAGUGGUGGUGGGCGGCAACCCCUCUGCCUUCAGCACCUGGAGCUGAGCCCUGUCAGCCUCCCCAGCCCAUCUCUGUUGAUAGGCUCAGGCUCCUGGCCACCCUUCUGCUGACCUCGUCUGGGCUGGGCUGCACUCCUUGGGUCUUGGCUCUUCUGACCCACGUGCUGGUGGAAGACAAAGGAAAGGCCUGGUCAGCCAGCAUGCCGGGGCUAGUCCAGCCCCUGCUUGCUCCUCGGCCCCUCUCUCUGGAUGUGCCUUUAAGACAGAUGUGACUGGAAGGUUGGGGAGGUGAGCGGGACCCUGGGCCUCCCUCUGGGAAGCAGCUGCGCAUCUCACCUGGCCCCUGCUCUGCUCCUCUACCUGGGUUCUGUGCCUUCUUCUUGGACAGUAACUUGCACUAGCUUCCUACUUCCCAAAAUGUUGAGAGGAGGAAAAAAGCAGCCUUGGGUACCACGUUGGGGGAAGGGAGGGAUGCUUUGUACCCAAGACGUGCCCCCCUCCCCCAAGACUAAAAGACUGUUAACUGGAAACAAAA